GGCGGCCGUAACUAUAACGGUCCUAAGGUAGCGAAAUUCCUUGUCGGGUAAGUUCCGACCCGCACGAAAGGCGCAACGAUCUGGGCACUGUCUCAACGAGAGACUCGGUGAAAUUAUAGUACCUGUGAAGAUGCAGGUUACCCGCGACAGGACGGAAAGACCCCGUGGAGCUUUACUGCAACCUGAUAUGGAAUGUUUGUACCGCUUGUACAGGAUAGGUAGGAGCCGAAGAGACGUGUGCGCUAGCAUACGAGGAGGCAAUGGUGGGAUACUACCCUGGCUGUAUGACCAUUCUAACCCGCCACGCUUAGCGCGUGGGGAGACAGUGUCAGGUGGGCAGUUUGACUGGGGCGGUCGCCUCCUAAAGAGUAACGGAGGCGCCCAAAGGUUCCCUCAGAAUGGAUGGAAAUCAUUCGCAGAGUGUAAAGGCACAAGGGAGCUUGACUGCGAGACUGACAAGUCGAGCAGGGACGAAAGUCGGGCUUAGUGAUCCGGUGGUUCCGCAUGGAAGGGCCAUCGCUCAACGGAUAAAAGCUACCCCGGGGAUAACAGGCUUAUCUCCCCCAAGAGUCCACAUCGACGGGGAGGUUUGGCACCUCGAUGUCGGCUCGUCGCAUCCUGGGGCUGUAGUCGGUCCCAAGGGUUGGGCUGUUCGCCCAUUAAAGCGGCACGCGAGCUGGGUUCAGAACGUCGUGAGACAGUUCGGUCCCUAUCCGUCGCGGGCGCAGGAAAUUUGAGAGGAGCUGUCCUUAGUACGAGAGGACCGGGAUGGACACACCGCUGGUGUACCAGUUGUUCCGCCAGGAGCAUCGCUGGGUAGCUAUGUGUGGCAGGGAUAAACGCUGAAAGCAUCUAAGCGUGAAGCCCCCCUCAAGAUGAGAUUUCCCAUUUCUUCGGAAAGUAAGAUCCCUGAAAGAUGAUCAGGUAGAUAGGUUUGGAGUGGAAGUGUAGCGAUACAUGGAGCGGACAAAUACUAAUCGAUCGAGGACUUAACCAAAA
rnacentral:rRNA from 1 species